AGACAGGGUCUCCCUGUGUUAUCCAGGCUCGAGUGCAGUGGUAUGAUCAUGGCUCACUGCAGCCUUGAACUCCCAGGCUCAAGAAAUCCUCCGACCUCGGCCUCCCAAGUAGCUGGGACUAUAGAUACGCACCCCCAUGCCUGGCUAAUUUUUAAAUUCUUUUUUUUUGUAGAAACAGGGGUCUUGUCAUGUUGCCCAGGCUGGUCUUGAACUCCUGGGCUCAAGUGAUCCUCUCACCUUAGCAUCCCCAAAUGUUGGGAUUACAGAUGUGAGCCACUGUGCUCGGUACCUUCUUUCAGUUGUGCCAUAUCUUGACUUUGGGCCAACACCCCCACACAGCCUGGAAACAUUUAUGAUUUGGUGCUUGGAGAUCAGAGAUGUCACUAGGAGCAGAGCCUGCCUCAGUCUAGCUCUGGCCUUGGUCCUGGGGAAGCUGUAUCCUCCAACCUUACUUUGUCUUCCUUCCCUGAUCUGAUCCCACUGACCAGCACCUUAUCGACGAGGUUGCUUAAAGUAAAUCACCAUCCCGUUGAGAGAGGAAGUGAAUCAAAGUUAGAGGGAAUUAACAAAUUUAGUAAACGGGGAAGCAUCCCAAAUCCACCAACCAACAGGCAAAAACAGCCCAGUAAAAUGGAUAAAUAAGGCCCAGCUGUUUCUUUGAACAAUCACAGGAGAUGAAUCUAUACCAUCAAGAAUGAGAAAGGAGGACAGGCGCUGUAGCUCAUGCCUGUAAUCCCAAUGUUUUGGGAGACCGAGGCAGGAGGAUGGCGAGGGGCCAGGAUUUCGAGACCAGCUUGGGCAAUGUGGUGAAACCCUGUCUCUGCAAAAAAAAAGUAAAAAAUUAGCUGGGUGUGGUUGCGCAUGCCUGUGGUCCCAGCUACUCGUUUGAGCCUGGGAAGUCGAGGCUGCAGUCAGCUGUGAUUGUGCCACUGCACUCCAGCCUGGGCAACAGAGUGAGACCCUGUCUCAAAUAAAAAAAAAAAAAGGCUGAGAUAGGAGUGAUAGACACAGUUAUGGGGGGCAUCCCACAUAAUGGAGAGCAUCCAAGGCCAUACUAGACUGCGGAAGUGGGGUGCUGAUAUUUGUGAGAUAUUUGUGGCCCCCUGCUCAUAUCAGUGGUCUGACUUUUUCCAAUGUGGCCUCUUUCAAGAGGCACCUUGAUUAGACUCUUGAGUCAUCUUAGAGACAUUAGCUGCCCCUGGCAUGAAAUUGCAAUUUGGCCCAUAGAUUUUCCAGGAAAAAAAAAAAAAGAUUGAGGAAACAGACCUACUGCUGCCAACUUUUAAUUUUUGUCAAGCAAGUGCAUUAAAAACAAAGGAGAGCAAUAUUUGUCAACCCCUGUCAGCGUUUAUCUCAUAAAAGAUUGGCAAUUUUAGAGCAAACAAGCAGAAAGGACAUACUCUCUGAAUAAGGAGUAAUCUUCUUUUGAUUUAUUUUUUUUUUUUGAGAUAGAGUCUGCUCUGUUACCCAGGCUGGAGUGCAGUGGCAUGAUCUUGGCUCAUUGCAACCUCCGCCUCCUGGGUUCAAGUGAUCUUCCUGCCUCAGCCUCCCUAGUAGCUGGGAUUA
rnacentral:lncRNA from 1 species